rnacentral:lncRNA from 1 species
UCUGCUGUUACAAAUAAAGUUCAGGAACAUUGGUGACUAAUUUUAGUGUUGCAUCAACCUAACUGACUGUAAGUCUUCUGUCUUAAACACAGACCAAAUCAGGCCAGGCUUGCCCCAGUAAGCAACCAACUACACGUCCCAUUUCUUUAGGGUGUGAUAACAUCAAGAAUAUAAACAGUAAAAUUGAUGUUCCACAUGAAAGGCAGCCAUUUCAGCCAGGUAGAAGAGCUUUCUCUCAAGAUAACCAUCACAUUUCAUUAUGCAGAAGUAUAUGAAAGGAUAUUACUUCCAGUUUCUCUAGGUUCAAAAGAAAGAGGAGUGAAGAGGAGUAAAACACACAUCUAUUAAAAAGCAAGAAGAUUAAAUAAAUUGAAGCUUUUUAUUUCUCUUUCUCUGCCUAAGGUAAGUCCAACAGUGUUUAAAAACCUAAGUUUGUGUUUUGUUGCAAUGUAAAAUAGGUCUCUUGUAUAGCCUGCUUGUUUUAAUAUCAAAAAAUAGCCGUGUGAAGCCCCAAGCAAGCAGGGAGGGAGGGUGCAGCACAAUCUGCAAAAAGAUGACUAUUUUACAAAUUUAAGCAUCUCACAUACAGGCAUCCAUCAAUAAGACUGUAGUGAUAUCACUGCUCGCUGCAAUGUUGUUAUAAAUAUGUUGCAGUGAGCAUUGCUGCAGGUCUUAAGGCUCUGUAUGACUCUGUUUGGGGAGAAUAAAAUAGGAUUUUACAACAUCUGAUCUCAAUGCAUUUUGAUUCUAGUGACGCAUUUGUGAGCAUGACUGUCAAAGAAGCAAAUAAGCAUGUAGAAGGUGACUUUAUGGCGGCAUCCAUAAAGAAAAUUGAAGUGGGGGAAGUGGCAACGUUUUGGGUAAUUCAGGAAAGUGAGGGAAAUAUAUAGUUUGGAUUCUGAAUUAUUUAUUCAGGCUUUCUAUGUUAAUCCAAUCCAUCUUAGUUGUUACUCAAUUUUACAUUUCCUGUGUAGCUGUAGGCUGUAAUAUGUUCCUUUUAGUGUGAUCCUAGUAGAUUCACAGUCAGUGGGCUGAAUGGGCUUUCCUUGUCUUCUCAUUUGUAUGCAAUGAUAAUUAUGGUUGUAGUAAACAUUUAUUGAACAUUUAUGUGCCAAUCACAGCUCUAAUUACUCUACUGCUCAUUCAUCCUUUAUAAUGGCUCUAUGAGGUAGAUAUUAACAUUUCCAUUUUAUAGAUGAAGAAAACAAGACUCAGACGACUCAAAAAAUUUGCACAACUGCAAGUAGCACAUCUAGAGUUCAAAAUUGCUUGACUAAUUUUAAGGCUCUGCUUUUUAUCUGCUACACUAUGCUGAGAGCUGUGAAAAUGAGGUUUGAUUCAAAGGCAACCUUAGUGUUGUUUUCGGUCCUCAUUCUAUAGCUUAAUUCAUAGCAAGUAGCAUAUAAGAAAAAACUGUGAGGAUGAAACACAACGGCACCGAGUGUGGGAUCUAGUUUUCUGAAAAGCCUCAGAGGAGUCAGGUAUUGCAACUUGCAAAGAUGUGAGGGAUGAGGAUUGCUCAAUGGAAUAUGAAAGGUGGAAGAGACCUGGGCAGAUUAAUUUCUCCACCUUCCUCUCUCUAACAGACUGCCCCAAGAUGUGAUUCUUCUUUGCAGUCUUUCUGGAGAAGUUGUAUGUGACAAGCAAACAUAUCUCCUGAGUGUCCUGUUGGUCUCGUGGCAGCUUGUUGUAAAGUGGAGAAACAUCAUUUCACAUCACUUUUUCUUUGCCUCACUUCUCUCUCUCUUUUUUUUUUUUUUUUUUUUUUUUUUUUUAUCUCACCCUCACUCUUUUGGGCUUACACCUUCCAAAUAAAAGGUAUGCUACCAUAAUGGGGUGCUCGAUGGGGUGCCUCAUGUAAUACUUCUUAAA